AACCUCCAAAAACGUGCGUUUGAUUUAAAUGUUCCACAAAACCGUCCCCUCUAAACGCCUGCGAUUCCCACAACUGGUGCUACUUUCGCGUAAUUAGGGCCACAAUCCCUUCGUUAAAUCCACUUUAAUCGACUUUCGUGGCUCCAAAAGCAUGACAACUGUCCCUAACCUCAAACCACCAGCUCAAGUAGCUGGGUUAACAACUUUGGACAAGAAUUUGUUCAAGAAAAACAUAACCGUCCCGUGUCUCAUCCUUAAGAACGUGAAAAUCUCAUCAGUCUUGCCAUUCGUGAAAAAUUACUUGUUAAAAAUUGAGAAUUUUAAGCCGGUUUGUAACGUAACCACGGGGGAAUCCCACGUUUACUUCAACCCGGAAAUAAUAGGGGCUUUUAGUGACUUGCCGCCAGAAACGCAAAAAUUGCUAAACGACCUGUGCGUGCAACUCGAAUUAAAGCCGUUGACUUUAAACUACGAGAAUUUUUCGAUUGAGGGCGUUUUUCGCGCCGUGCUUCCCCCGAAUGUCGAGGGGAUGUCGAGUUUUACUAAAGUGGGGCACAUUGUGCACGUUAACCUGCGCGAACACCUCGUUCCGUUUAAAGACAUAAUUGGGCAAGUGUUGUUUGAUAAAGUGCCCAAUUGUCGGACUGUGGUCAAUAAAGUGGGGAGUAUUGAUAACACGUAUCGGAAUUUCCAGAUGGAGGUUUUAAGGGGCGAAAACGACACGCAAACGCACGUUAGGGAAAAUAAAUGUGUGUUUGAGUUUGAUUUUGCGAAAGUGUACUGGAAUUCUAGACUCUGCACUGAACACGAAAGAAUUGUCAAUAUGAUAGAGAGUGGUGAUGUUGUGUUUGAUGUUUUCGCGGGGGUUGGGCCGUUUUCCGUGCCUUUGGCUAGGAAAAAGUGCCAGGUUUUUGCCAAUGAUCUCAAUCCCGAGUCCUUUAAAUGGCUAAAUCACAACUUUAAAAUAAACAAAGUUGGGGAAAAUUACUUUAAGAGUUAUAAUAAGGACGGGCGGGAGUUUAUCUUGGGCGAGGUUAAGGAGUUGUUGCCGAAAUUUUCGGCCAAAAAUGUUUUUAUUCUGAUGAAUCUUCCGGCACUGGCCGUUGAUUUUUUAACAACUUUUGUUGAUUUAUUCUCAAAUGAUGAGUUACCAGAAUUUGGGAAACACCCAGUUGUCGUAGUUUAUUGCUUUGCCAAAGGCGAGGAUUUCAUAAACAUUGCCAAAAAAUCACUUUGUGAAAAAAUCGGUCGGAAUGUUGAAGAAAAAAUUACCGAUGUGUUUCGUGUGCGCACCGUCAGCUCGCUCAAAGAAAUGAUGAGGAUCACGUUCAAGUUAGACCGCGAAAUUUUGGUCAAAAAUUACGUACGGAAACGAAAAAAUUCCUGCGUUGGCGUUGAAUCCAAAAAACUCUGUGAUGGGGAAAAACAAGAAGAAGCUCAAUAGUGUGUUCAAGGUCGCCGGGGCCAAAAGCUUGAAGCUCAAGGCCAAGGCGAAAGCUGUCAAAAGUGAGCUCAAACAGAUUAAUAAUAAAAAUAAGGCCAAGAUAACGGAAAUUGAUAAGGAACUCGUCAACUUGCAGGAAAAAGUCCGAAAUUCGACCGGUGACCAGAAGAAAGAAACUAAAAAUAAAACCAAAUUACCGUCACGUCAGAAUGUGACGAAGGAGGUUGGUGAAAAGUCGCAAGACACUUUGAAGCAAUUGAAUGCCAUGCAGUUGUAGAUCAUAAAAUAAAUCGUUUAUUACGUUA